GGAGAGGUGGCCGAGUGGUCGAAGGCGCACGCCUGGAAAGUGUGUAUACGGCAACGUAUCGAGGGUUCGAAUCCCUCCUUCUCCGCCA
rnacentral:tRNA from 3 species